UGCAACCAUCCCCCACUGAGUCAGAAUCUAUCAGUUCUUAUCAGCUAAGUGGGGUUGGGCCUAUUCAGUACUUGCUUGGAAGACUACCAGAGAACGUUCAGGUGUGAUCGAGU
rnacentral:rRNA from 1 species